rnacentral:rRNA from 1 species
UACGUAGGGGGCAAGCGUUGUCCGGAAUCAUUGGGCGUAAAGAGCGUGUAGGCGGCCAGGUAGGUCUGCUGUGAAAACUCGAGGCUCAACCUCGAGACGUCGGCAGAAACCCUCUGGCUAGAGUCCGGAAGAGGAGAGUGGAAUUCCUGGUGUAGCGGUGAAAUGCGCAGAUAUCAGGAAGAACACCCGUGGCGAAGGCGGCUCUCUGGGACGGUACUGACGCUGAGACGCGAAAGCGUGGGGAGCGAACAGG